rnacentral:lncRNA from 1 species
ACAGCCCGAGGAGGAAGAGCCAAGGACCCCAAGGAGAAGAGAAAGGAGUUCAUGAAGGCAGAAAUGCCUGGGGCCCACGAACAUCCCAGUGUGGCCCUGGACGGGACAUCAUGCUGGGCAACACAGCUAAAAUGCGGGUGAAGACCAGAUUUCUUGCACAUGGCGGUGACGGGAUGCUCCCUAGAGAGCUUCAAGUGGAUUCUUUGCUUUUUAUUUUCUCUCUUAAUAAAAAUGUAUGAUGUUUACAUUGUCAGAGAA